AGGACGAACGCUGGCGGCGUGCUUAACACAUGCAAGUCGAACGGAAAGGCCCUUCGGGGUACUCGAGUGGCGAACGGGUGAGUAACACGUGGGUGAUCUGCCCUGCACUUCGGGAUAAGCCUGGGAAACUGGGUCUAAUACCGGAUAUACCUCAUGGGAUGCAUGUUUUGUGGGGGAAAGCUUUUGCGGUGUGGGAUGGGCCCGCGGCCUAUCAGCUUGUUGGUGGGGUGAUGGCCUACCAAGGCGUCGACGGGUAGCCGGCCUGAGAGGGUGUCCGGCCACACUGGGACUGAGAUACGGCCCAGACUCCUACGGGAGGCAGCAGUGGGGAAUAUUGCACAAUGGGCGCAAGCCUGAUGCAGCGACGCCGCGUGGGGGAUGACGGCCUUCGGGUUGUAACCUCUUUCAGUAGGGACGAAGCGCAAGUGACGGUACCUACAGAAGAAGCACCGGCCAACUACGUGCCAGCAGCCGCGGUAAC
rnacentral:rRNA from 1 species